UGGUACUCACUUCAUCUGCUGGCGACCGGGAUCUUCAAAGCCAACUGCUUCGACAGACAGCAUAGACUGCACCGUAUUUAAACGACCAUCCGCAUCCGCCACGCUGGGGCACAACACCGUUUCGGACAUGGAGUGCUCGCCCGUGCUCACGUUUCAGAGAUCCGGGCCGCUGCUGCGCUUGCUGCUGGGCGUUCGUCGGCGCGCUGGCCGUGGCGGCGCUGUCCGCCCUCGUCGUCUUCAUGGCCCUCGGAGUGGUGAACAUCAAGCUGCACUACGUGACAGCCGAGGCCAGGAAGGGCGACGCGACCACCUCAUCUGCGAGCGGCAGCGACCAAGCGCUGCCGACGAACCCUGCGGCGAAGACUGCGCGCGUCGACGGGAACGCGCCACGCACGACGGCGGCCGCCAGAGGGCGCAACCCGGGAGACGAGCGCGUCCCGGAUCCCCGCCUGAGCUGAGGGCUUCCCGUGCCGCACCUUUGCGAAGGCGCUAGGCUUAUUUUUCCUCUCUGAUUUCGCCAUUUAAACAUGCGGCGCUCAAAGUAAGAAGGAGGAGGUGGGCAAGAAACAAAGGCGAGCCCGGAAGAGACGACGGCACGAGAUUUCGCAGACACCUGGAAAACAUGGCUUAGCGCUCAUAAAUCUUACGUGACUGAAUCUGCCGCACCGCUAUCUUGUUCUUUAAAACAACCAUACGCUUACAAGCCAAGUGAGUAGGAAAAGGCGCGCCGAAAACCGCAGAAGUGAAACAAACGAUGCAAAAUUUCGUCGUCUUUCGUCGGCAGCAGUCGUUCCGUGGCCCAAAUACGACGUGUACGUGGUCUGUGUUGGCAGAAGGGGCAUAAUGAUUCUGCUAUCUAUUGUUUAUUUUCAUAGCUAUAGGUAUUGGUAUGUCACGGAUCUGCGCGCAAUAUGUCGUGUUCGGCACACUAGAACUGAAUGUGCAUUACAAAUACGAAUGUGUUAUACACACGUCGCCGGCCCACGCAGCAUUCGAGGCGCAUAUAGGCACUAUGACGUCAUAUAUGAAGCGAUCAUCUUGAACUACAUUAACGUGUGGGGGAUAUCUGAACCUUGACGGCUUGACUGUUUCGAUGACCGCCCGACUGAUUUGUAUUCGCGGAAUAAAGCAAAUCAAUCCUUUGACGAAGUGGUUUAUAGCACCUUUCUUUAUCGGGA